AGCUAAUGACCGCGUUUGUUCUGCCAUUUUUAUUAGUUAACUUUUCAAAUGUGCAUGACUUGAAAAAGGGGAAGUAAGUCAGAUCUGCAUCAGCACAUUCUAAUUUAUAUUUAGUGUGAAGCAUUUUAUUUCCGAUCAUAUUCAGCCACACUGCUCUGUCUGUAAGGCUGUUUAAUACUAAUGGCUAAUUAGCAAAGCACUGAGGCCAGAUCAGAACUCUCUCCUGCCAUGCUCUUCAAACCCCUGUUGGUAAUCGUCCUCUCUGUGUCAGGUGUUCUGUGCCAGUGGGAAUGGGGAGUGACUUACACCCCUGAGAGAAUCUGUGCUUUAAAGGGGUCUUCAGUAGACAUGCGCUGCACUUACUCAUAUCCCACAGAUUACACAGUGCAGAGAACAUUCUGGUUUAUUUAUGACUGGAACAGUAGACAGAUGCGUGAAGACCUGUCCAAGGACCCAGAGUACUCUGACCGUGUGGAGUUCCUGGGGAAUCAGAACAGUGACUGCACUUUCAGAAUAAACCAACUGAGAGAAACUGAUUCA